rnacentral:rRNA from 1 species
CCAGCGGAAGGAUCAUUACCGAGAUCUAUCCGGACGGCCCGAAGUCGCCCAGCGGCCCGGGCCCGUCCGGGUGCUUUGUCGCCCAACCCUGUGUCGUAUUAGCCCUGUGAUGCUUCGGCGGUCGCCUCCAAAUCAUCCUCUUCUCGUGGGAGGGUGGGGAGGCGCAACCGCCGGAUGCUUUGCUUAAUUCAUUCUCUGCGAUGCUGUCAGAAUGCCGUCUGAGGAUUGUGAACAAAUAUAGCAAAACUUUCAACAACGGAUCUCUUGGUUCCGGCAUCGAUGAAGAACGCAGCGAAAUGCGAUAAGUAAUGUGAAUUGCAGAAUUCAGCGAAUCAUCGAAUCUUUGAACGCACAUUGCGCCCCUUGGAAUUCCGAUGGGCAUACCUGUUCGAGCGUCAUUGACUCCAUCCUUCCAGCGUGCGCUGGGUCUUGGGCGGUGUCGCCCCGGCCGCUUCGGUGGGCCCGCAGCGACACGCCCCAAAGAGAACGUCGGCCCGUCGGGGAGGCUUCGAGCGCAGUGAAGAAUCUCGCUCAGCCGGUCGUCCUCGGUGCGUCUCGUCCAGGCAAGCUCCAGGUGGGGCCUGCCCCGUCCACAUCGCCAUGUUGACCUCGAAUCAGGUAGGGAUACCCGCUGAACUUAAGC